rnacentral:rRNA from 1 species
UGAGGAAUCUUGCGCAAUGGGGGAAACCCUGACGCAGCAACGCCGCGUGAGUGAGGAAGGCCUUCGGGUCGUAAAGCUCUGUCAGAUGGGAAGAAAUGGGUGGGGGCUAAUAUCGUCCAUCCUUGACGGUACCAUCAGAGGAAGCACCGGCUAACUCCGUGCCAGCAGCCGUGGUAAUACGGGGGGUGCAAGCGUUGUUCGGAAUCAUUGGGCGUAAAGCGCGCGCAGGCGGCUUGGUAAGUCAGAUGUGAAAUCCCUGGGCUUAACCCAGGAAGUGCAUUUGAUACUGCCUCGCUAGAGUACGGGAGAGGAAAGUGGAAUUCCUGGUGUAGAGGUGAAAUUCGUAGAUAUCAGGAGGAACGCCGGUGGCGAAGGCGACUUUCUGGCCCGAUACUGACGCUCAGGCGCGAAAGCGUGAGGAGCAAACAG